CCUUUCUACGGAGAAUUUCAGGACGGGUGUUCGCCCGUCCGGUGUGUGUCCCCUUCCUGUUUGGCGCGUCCGGCGCCUGGAUGGGGAAUGCUGGCGUGGAAGAGAUCAUCGGCUGUCGCGUGUUCCUUCGGGUCCGCGCGCGGGAGUGGUAUGGGCAUGCUUUUGGGUUCCCGGAUCGCCACGGGCGGGGGUUUUCCCCUGUUUCGGCGUUCCGUUGCGCCCCCGGGCCCCGGCUUUCCGCCUUGGUUGGUGGUUGGUUCGGGUUUGGGGUGUGGUGGUGGUUUGAGAACUGGAUAGUGGACGCGAGCAGAAACCAUUCUUUUUUGUUUGGUUUUUGCUGUUGAUUUCGAUUCGAACUCAUAUAUUGUUCGUUUCGAUCGUUUUGUGAUCAUUAUGUGUGAUGAUUUGUCGUCAAGUGGAAUUUUGCUGGUCGUUGCGUGCGGUCCACACCCCGUGGGGUGCG
rnacentral:misc_RNA from 1 species